AGACUUUUAGGUUAUAUUUAGACCUUUAGCCUUCAAAGCUAAAAGAGAAAAUUAUUUUCAAAGUCUG
rnacentral:tRNA from 1 species